UACGUAGGGUCCAAGCGUUGUCCGGAUUUAUUGGGCGUAAAGAGCUCGUAGGCGGCUCAGUAAGUCGGAGGUGAAAACUCGGGGCUCAACCCCGAGACGCCAUCCGAUACUGCUGUGGCUUGAGUCUGGUAGGGGAACACGGAAUUCCUGGUGUAGCGGUGAAAUGCGCAGAUAUCAGGAGGAACACCGAUGGCGAAGGCAGUGUUCUGGGCCAGUACUGACGCUGAGGAGCGAAAGCGUGGGGAGCGAACAGG
rnacentral:rRNA from 1 species